rnacentral:rRNA from 1 species
AUUGAACGCUGGCGGCAUGCCUUACACAUGCAAGUCGAACGGCAGCACGGGUGCUUGCACCUGGUGGCGAGUGGCGAACGGGUGAGUAAUACAUCGGAACGUACCUUAUCGUGGGGGAUAACGCAGCGAAAGUUGCGCUAAUACCGCAUACGCCCUGUGGGGGAAAGCGGGGGACCGUAAGGCCUCGCGCGAUUAGAGCGGCCGAUGUCUGAUUAGCUUGUUGGUGAGGUAAAAGCUCACCAAGGCGAUGAUCAGUAGCUGGUCUGAGAGGACGAUCAGCCACACUGAGACUGAGACACGGCCCAGACUCCUACGGGAGGCAGCGGUGGGGAAUUUUGGAAAAUGGGGGCAACCCUGAUCCAGCAAUGCCGCGUGAGUGAAGAAGGCCUUCGGGUUGUAAAGCUCUUUUGUCAGGGAAGAAACAGCAGCUCUAACACAGUCUGCGAAUGACGGUACCUGAAGAAUAAGCACCGGCUAACUACGUG